rnacentral:rRNA from 1 species
ACUCAAAUGAAUUGACGGGGGCCCGCACAAGCGGUGGAGCAUGUGGUUCAAUUCGACGCAACGCGAAGAACCUUACCCAGGCUCGAAAUGUAGUGGACAAAUGUGGAAACACAUUCUCUCCCUUCGGGGAGUCGUUAUAUAGGUGCUGCAUGGCUGUCGUCAGCUCGUGUCGUGAGAUGUUGGGUUAAGUCCCGCAACGAGCGCAACCCUUGUCGUUAGUUACCAGCGGGUAAUGCCGGGGACUCUAUCGAGACUGCCUGUGAUAAACAGGAGGAAGGUGGGGAUGACGUCAAGUCCUCAUGGCCCUUACGUCUGGGGCUACACACGUGCUACAAUGGCCGGUACAGAGAGAAGCAAGACCGCGAGGUGGAGCCAAUCUUCAAAACCGGCCCCAGUUCGGAUUGGAGUCUGCAAUUCGACUCCAUGAAGUUGGAAUCGCUAGUAAUCGCGGAUCAGCACGCCGCGGUGAAUACGUUCCCGGGCCUUGCACACACCGCCCGU